GACCUACACCUUAGGUAAAUGUUAUGACCAAUGAGAAACUGUACCCACAUCCUGUGUUCAAGGUCUAAGUUUAACCGGUCACCAUUUAAAUGGAUUGGAGCUAUUAGUGCACCAAGUGAUGUUGAUUUGUUUCAACUCUCUCCCUCCCUUCAUACUUUUUUGGUUUGUAUGUGGUUUCUCAGUUAAUACCUAGCUAAUAGCUCUUAUUUUUUCUUAAGUUUUUUAACUGCUUAGGUCUUUCUGGAUGUAAGGGUAAAAAAAAAAAAAAUCCAUAUGACAGAAAACUUGUGUGUAUUUAAAGACCCAACUGCUCCCCUGGAGCUUGUACGUUCAAGAAUGAAUUAAUCUGUGUAAUAAACUGAUUACUACAGUCAUUACAUAUAACUUUGUGUGAAUAGGCUUUUAAUUUUCAGAGCAGUUUGUUACAGGCUUAAACUAACGGUGGAUUUCUCUAAAAAAAACUUUUUGGGCUGAAGUCAUGAAGCAGUUUGGUUUGCAUCACACAAGGCACCUGAAGAGGCAAACAGGAGCUUGAGCACUUAGAUGAAAUCAGGAUGUGUAGUGUGCCAGGAACUUGACUGUUAAACCAAAUAAGCAGUUUACUAAAUGCGAAUCAGAGUGACAUUUUACAAAGCCUGAUGGUAUUACUCCCACUUGCAUGGGACCUAACACAAUGCAUAUGUACUGUAGGUAAGUGAAACCUUAUGUAACUAAAAAAAUGGAUGUAAAAGGGUAAAAAAAAGAAAAAAACCUACCAAACACAUCAGCACAAACUUUCAUAAAAUGUAGCUUUUACAUAAUUACUUUGCACUAAACAUUUGCAAAUGUUCAUACAGUUUUAAAUUGUACUUGUAUGUGUCUUUUUUUUUUUUUUUUUUUGGAACAAAGUCUUCACUUGAAUCUAGUGAAAAAAAUGUAGUUUGAAAAACUUUUCUUUGUAUACAAGUGUAUUUGCCAGCAUCGUUGGUGUGACAGUAGGUGAGUCUGCAAGUUUAUCUCCUCUUAGUAGAAUUGUAACCCAAGCCAUCGGGCAGGAGAGGACCCUGCUGGCCUGGGGCUCCAGGGUGGAGCAGAGCUGCUCUGGAGAAGGAAGGGACACAUGGCCACGUGUCCUGGCUGGGGGACACUGCUGGGUCACAGGGGAAGGGGACAGAUGGGCGUGCAGGGCUGCAGAGCUUGUGUUGGGUCACCUGCAACUCGUGGCACUCGUGUUAUCCACAGGGGCUUGGUGUCUGGACUGUGUGGGGAGCAGCCUGUGGCCCUGGAUAACACCUGUGCCAUCAAACUGGAGGGUGAGCUGGGGUUUGUGCCAGCCUGGAUCCAUGGCCUUGCCUUUGCUCACCUGCUGUGCUCCUGCUGGACUCUCCAAUACACCUUGGCCACGGUGGAGUUGCCUUCCCAUGUUUUUCCAUGGGGUCACUGACACGUACAGGGAAGGAGCUGCACUGAUUGUGAACAGUUUGGGGGAAUUCUCUUUAACUGCUUUGCAACUGAGCCACCCAAGAAUGUUUUUUGUGGCAGAUCUGGCUGCCUUUGGAAAUUGGCAGUUACUAGAAGAGAUCAGAGACCGUAUGGGGGGAGAGACAGAGCAGGGAGCAGUGACAGCUGAGGGAACAGGAUGGUUUCUCUUUCUGGAGGGGCAGGAGCCACAAACACGAGGUGACAGGACAUUAACAUGUAUGGAAACAGUCCUGAACCUGUAACAGCUUCAGCUUGGAGGAUGCAUUAACACAUCUCAUGUUGGGAUGAGCUCAUUUGCAGUGAGGUGUUCAAACAGUUUUGGCCUCUUUGCUGAUGGCUUGACAGUUGUGGUCUAGUAAAAGCAGGUCUGGUGAUGUUUGAGAUGGGAGGAUGUGCUCUGUAUACCUCCUGUGGGUUGACCAUUUGUUGUUGAGGGUUGUACUGUGAACUAGAUGGAGGAGCCUUUAGCAUUUAACUGAAAGCCUGACCCAGCUUAGCUAUUUUUGGGACUAGAAUCUUGCUCCUUUGAAGCUGUGCAUUGAGUAUGUUCUAAUGUCAAACAGCACAUGAGGCCAGGGGCUCUGGUCACUACCUUUCUAGGAAUCCUGAGCUUGUCAUGUCAUCAACCUUUUCCAUCCCUGUCCAGUUUUUUAUCUUGACUUAGUAAUUUGAGUUGCCUGAUUCCCUUUGCAUGGCUUUCUUUGUGCUGAGCCUUCUGUGGAUGUAGAUUGUUCAUGCAAUUCCCUUUUAUCCUGUCAUGUGCUAAGUGUGUUUUAUUUAAAAAUAGUGCUGGGCUGCUUAGAACCCGCCAGCUCUGGCAGCAAAGCUGGAACUCUGUGCCUGGAUACAUUCCUUGUGCUCAUCAGUGCCUGUCCACUGCUCAGAGUGACCCAGAGGAGGAGUGUGAUCCAUGUAUUUUGGAACCUCUCUUGGCUCAGCACUGAGCAGCCACUCAUCAGUGUGCAGGAGCUGGCUUCAACAUCCCCAUGGCUCAAAGCCCAACCUCUGUGACCUGCAGGCUGGGAUGGAGCUGAUCCUGAGAAGUGCUGGAGACCUGAUUACUGUGCUUGAACACCCAGCUUGUCCUGUGCUGGGAUGUGCUGCUGCAUUUCUGUCAUAGCUUUUGGGCAAGGCAAGAAAGAUUUUUUAAUUCAGUUAUUACUGUGUCAUCCCAAUGCUUCCAACUAAGCUGCAUCCUGAAGUGUCCUCACACUCUUCUGUUCAGUCUGCAGCCAUCAAAUGAUGUGGGAAAACCAGCAUGGCUAAGUUGGAUAUGCUCUUGUGUCCUUAGUGGAUGUAGCAAACUGUUGCCUGUCCCAUGCCUCUGGUCUUUCCUGGUGUUUGGCAGCUGUGGCUGCAGACAGCAAUGCCUGGCUCUGGUUUUUGACAGUCUUGGUCAUCUUCAGCAGCAAAGCAUCUCUAGAGCUGCUCUUGUUCCCAGUUCUGAGUUCCCAGUACAAGAGAUGAGAAUCUCAGGGAAGGUCGAUGGGAAGCUCUGCCCAGUGAAAGGUGGAUUUCUUUGUGCCUGAGCACAGAGGGGAGCAAGGAAGGAGUGUGGGGGGUGACAAAUGCUCACAGUAGUGAAUGUGUCACCUAAAGAACCAGGAUGACAAAGCACCUGAAUGUGCUCAGCACUCCUGCUCCAGGUGGAGGAGCCCUUGGCUAAGGCUCCAGGCAUGCCAGUGCAUCCAGGCACAGCCUGGAAGUCACCUCCUGGAAGAAUAAAAGCCUGGAGGUGUAUCUGAGUGGCAGGAAGGCUGUCCCCAUUAAAUACAGAACCUCAGAAAAAUCUUCUCAUCCUUGCAGCAUCAGGGAAGCCUCCCUCCAUCUCCUCCAGGUAGCUGGAAUGGAGUUUCACCCCCACAGUUACUGCUUCCUUCUAUUCCAUGGCUCUUCGGGUGGGCUUGGAGCAAAAAGGUGCAGAUCUCACUUGAUGAGAUUUGGAAAAAGUGGUUUUCUACAGGGAAUGCACGGGGACAAGAGCACUGAGGGUGUCUGGAAGGUUAAAAGCAGGACAAGCCCUGCUGUGCAGCUCUUGGGAGGCAUGCAGACCAAGCCCUGUGUGAGUGACUGCACUUGGAGGCUCCGGGAGGGAUCCCUGCAGCCGGUCCUUGCUGCCCCUCCCUCUCCUGGAAGUGUGUCUGACUAGAUCCAUGCUAACACUGUCUGUACUCUUGUAUUGUGUUGCAAUUUGAUCACCAUUAAAUAAUUCCCUUAAACUCUCUGGCUUGAUUGCUUUUUUUUUUUUUUUUUUUUUUAAUUUGCUUUACCUGUGCCUUUUGCCCAUUUAUUUUGGCUCACGUUGCUUCCUUUCCUCGUGUGGCUGCUCUGUCCCUUUCCCC
ensembl:lncRNA